rnacentral:rRNA from 1 species
CAUGCCUAGUACGGCGAGUGAAGCGGCAACAGCUCAAAUUUGAAAGCUGGCUCCGGCCCGCAUUGUAAUUUGCAGAGGAUGCUUUUGGCGAGGUGCCUUCCGAGUUCCCUGGAACGGGACGCCAUAGAGGGUGAGAGCCCCGUAUGGAUGGACACCAGACCUGUGUAAAGCUCCUUCAACGAGUCGAGUAGUUUGGGAAUGCUGCUCUAAAUGGGAGGUAAAUCUCUUCUAAAGCUAAAUACCGGCCAGAGACCGAUAGCGCACAAGUAGAGUGAUCGAAAGAUGAAAAGCACCUUGAAAAGGGGGUUAAACAGUACGUGAAAUUGUUGAAAGGGAAGCAUUUAUGACCAGACUUGCGCCGGGCAGCUCAUCAGGGGUUCUCCCCUGUGCACUCUGCCCGGCUCAGGCCAGCAUCGGUUCUCGUGGGAGGAUAAGAACAGUGGGAACGUGGCCCCCCUCCGGGGGGGUGUUAUAGCCCAUUGUACGAUACUCUCGUGGGGACCGAGGUUCGCGCUCCGCAAGGAUGCUGGCGUAAUGGUCAUCAAUGACCCGUCUUGGC